UACGAAGGGGGCUAGCGUUGCUCGGAAUCACUGGGCGUAAAGGGUGCGUAGGCGGGUCUUUAAGUCAGGGGUGAAAUCCUGGAGCUCAACUCCAGAACUGCCUUUGAUACUGAAGAUCUUGAGUUCGGGAGAGGUGAGUGGAACUGCGAGUGUAGAGGUGAAAUUCGUAGAUAUUCGGAAGAACACCAGUGGCGAAGGCGACUCACUGGCCCGUUACUGACGCUGAGGCGCGAAAGCGUGGGGAGCAAACAGG
rnacentral:rRNA from 1 species